UACGGAGGAUCCAAGCGUUAUCCGGAAUCAUUGGGUUUAAAGGGUCCGUAGGCGGUUUGUAAGUCAGUGGUGAAAGCCCAUCGCUCAACGGUGGAACGGCCAUUGAUACUGCCAGACUUGAAUUAUUAGGAAGUAACUGGAAUAUGUAGUGUAGCGGUGAAAUGCUUAGAGAUUACAUGGAAUACCAAUUGCGAAGGCAGGUUACUACUAAUGGAUUGACGCUGAUGGACGAAAGCGUGGUAGCGAACAGG
rnacentral:rRNA from 1 species